AGUGAGGUUUCACUUCGUGGCAUUCCGCGUAUGAAUGUUUUUAGACUUUAAUCCUUUUCGAUUGAACCAUACAGACUAAUUCUUCAGCGUACUCAUUAGAAAGAAAUGCAAAACUCGCUGCGUCCGUAGAAGGAAACUUUAAUGGAAGAGGACAUCAGUUUAUAACAAAAUCCAUCAUAUUUUUUUUCCACUUUACCUUUUACAAUUAUUUCCAAUUAUUGAGCCAGUUACUGGGUGGGGGCUUUAACCUUUCUCUGUUUUAAAGUUCUCCAAUCAUUGUACGCACUUCAUUUAUGGCUUUGGGAUGAUACGAGGCUGAUAGUGUUUAUAUGUCUCUGUAGAUUUCUCAGCAAUUCUGGUCCAAGGAUACAUCAUUUCUGCCAACAAAAUAGUUCUUUCCAUUUGUUCAUUGUUGAUAUUUGUCAAAGGGAAAUGUAGUUAGAUUAAGACUAGACAGCCCCAGCCAUCUGUCAUCCUUGUGACAGUUGACCUGGAUUCUGAAGUGACGCCGUUUAACUUUUGUGUCAGUCUGGUGCAGCCACGUGGAACUUCAUUUUAGCAGAGGAGGUUUUAUUGAGUUAUGUAAUCAGUCUGACCUGCAAAUGGAGCUACUCUUGUAUCAAGAACUGCAAGGGCAUUUGUCUGCUACUGUGGAGGGCUGCUGCCAGUUUAGACCCGUGGGCUGAAGUCUCACAGAGCUGGACUGGGCUCUCUCUGCUGUUGACUUUCUAGUAGGCAAGGACACUGUUUCCAUUCCCUUUCCAUUAACUUUUAUAUUUUCUCCUUACCCCAUGUUUUAUUUUAUCUCUUACACAAACCUGUGUUCUGGAAAUGCAAAAUCCGGAAGGAGGAACCUUUCAAGACCUCAUCAUUAAGUUGGGUACAAUUGUUUAUGCCCAUAACUCAAGGUGAUCUGACCACAAAGAGUGUGUCCUUGAAGAGGGCUUACAAAAUAGUACUGACUUGAGUAUCACAAGAAGCAAUACAGUACUUGGAAGGAGAAUGUGGUCUGAACAUGUAUUUUAGCAGUGGUCCUGCUUAACUUUUCUGCUUAUGGAUAUGUGACAUGGGCAGCUGAGGCUGUGUACAGGUUCCACUGUUCCACUCCUUCUGUUUGAGAAGGAGAUCUGCCAGAGUCCAGGUGCGCUCAAGGAGCACAACAACGCUGCAGUCACUGCUGGGACUCACUGCAGCCAAUGAGCACAGUCUUCAAGAGCAUCCAAACACCCAGAUCAGCUAUUUCAAAGUCUGCAAAACUGUAUAAACUAAGCUCUGCCUUACUUGGAUGGCAGUAAUUUUUCAGUUACCACUUGUAUGGGAAUUUUUGUUAUUUCAGAGCAAUAAGAAAUUUUUAAAUGUCUGCUGUAGUAUUUGUUCUGUUUCAUGCUGUUUGCAUGCACGAAUUUAUAGUUAAGAGGAGGUCUGUUGCCAGUAUGGUCAAAUAAUGUAUUAAGCUACAGAGAGGUUUGUGGACAUCUUUCUUUUUUCCUUUUCUCCCUUUUUUUUAACAUUUUUUUUCCUUUUUCCCCUCCUUUGUUUUCUUUUUUCUUGACCAUUUUUCAGAAUCAAGUAACUGUGUACAGUUGGUAAAUAUUAUUGAAGAUGCUCAGGAAUUUUCUCUAUGUUCUAAAAUGUACAAAUGUUGCCAUGCUUUUGGCUGAUCAGAAAUGGGAGUGUUGUAGCUUGCACUAGAAAUGUUUUGAACAAAGUAGACACUGAGAUGUUUGUUUAGUGUGGUAGCUGGUGGGCUGUGUGGACAGGUACCAAUUUGCUUUUCAGCUCUGUUCUGGAAAGCUUCUGCUGGUACAGCUGUGCUGGUGUGGUUACACAGGUAGACUUUUCUGUGCAGGUGCAGUGCAUUUUGGGAAAAGAACUCUUUCUGAUGAUAGAUGAGAAAGUAUGGAUUGAUGCUAAACACAAGUAACUAAGCUGACAACAGCACUCCCCUGCUAACUUAGCUGCACUCAGACCAGGAGGAUUUGCUGAUAAAGUUGUGUAAGCUGGGGAGUGCUUUUUCCUGCUUAUCCUUGCACUGCUGUGUCAGCAACACUCUGCAACGUAGACGCAGCUGCGAGGGGUGGUUUAAACUCACCCUACAAACUGACAAGGCCACGUUUCUCUAAAUGCAUUUUUUUGUUUGCUUUAAUGAAUAAGGGAAAAAAGUGAAUUCAAAUGAGACUUCCAUGUUGAAGCAUUAUUUUCUGCACAGUUUUGUCACCUUAACAAACUAGUGGAAGUGAUUUUGAAAGUAGCACACAAGGCUUUCUACGGUGGCUGGUCAUUGUUUCUGUUUGGUCCAUGGUCAUGCCUUUCUACCAAGCCGUUGUAUCCAUGUACUUUAUUGUAAUAUCACAGAAGAAACAGUUCUUUAAAGUAAAACUGAGCAAAUGGAGUGAAGUUGCAACCUAACCCAAAAUCAGAACUCUGGUAGAAUCAGAGAGAGGAAGACAACAUUUAUUUAUCUUGGGUAGAAAACAAUCCCAGAGUGUGCAGUACUUGGUUCUUGGACAAAAAGGUAUGAGGCAGGAUAAGAUAAAUGGGGUAAGCAAUCAUGUAGAACCUUGGAAUAAAGAGCAAAGGGAUGUUAAAGAAGAGGGAUAGGCAAUAGCUGGAUUCAAAGAUGUUAGACAUGGUCCAGAAAAUCACAUAGUAACAAGACCUCUUUCAGGAUAGUGCAAUUUUUCUCCACAAAAUUGGAGAGAGAAAAGAGAGAAGGAAUCAACAUUAGAGAGUAAUAGCCAGGAAGAGUCAUCACUGAAGAUAAGCCAUCAUCAUAGCAUUUUGUAGCUUUCUUUUCUAAGUGGCCCUUCCUAUUACACGUGAAUUGAAAAAGAUUUUGAAAAUAAAAGCA